rnacentral:rRNA from 1 species
AGUGAACGCUGGCGGUAGGCCUAACACAUGCAAGUCGAACGGCAGCACAGUAAGAGCUUGCUCUUACGGGUGGCGAGUGGCGGACGGGUGAGGAAUACAUCGGAAUCUACUUUUUCGUGGGGGAUAACGUAGGGAAACUUACGCUAAUACCGCAUACGACCUACGGGUGAAAGCAGGGGAUCUUCGGACCUUGCGCGAUUGAAUGAGCCGAUGUCGGAUUAGCUAGUUGGCGGGGUAAAGGCCCACCAAGGCGACGAUCCGUAGCUGGUCUGAGAGGAUGACCGGCCACACUGGAACUGAGACACGGUCCAGACUCCUACGGGAGGCAGCAGUGGGGAAUAUUGGACAAUGGGCGCAAGCCUGAUCCAGCCAUACCGCGUGGGUGAAGAAGGCCUUCGGGUUGUAAAGCCCUUUUGUUGGGAAAGAAAAGCAGCAGGUUAAUACCCCGCUGUUCUGACGGUACCCAAAGAAUAAGCACCGGCUAACUUCGUG